rnacentral:rRNA from 1 species
GACGAACGCUGGCGGCGUGCUUAACACAUGCAAGUCGAACGGAAAGGCCCUGCUUUUGUGGGGUGCUCGAGUGGCGAACGGGUGAUUAACACGUGAGUAACCUGCCCUUGACUUUGGGAUAACUUCAGGAAACUGGGGCUAAUACCGGAUAGGAGCUCCUGCUGCAUGGUGGGGGUUGGAAAGUUUCGGCGGUUGGGGAUGGACUCGCGGCUUAUCAGCUUGUUGGUGGGGUAGUGGCUUACCAAGGCUUUGACGGGUAGCCGGCCUGAGAGGGUGACCGGCCACAUUGGGACUGAGAUACGGCCCAGACUCCUACGGGAGGCAGCAGUGGGGAAUAUUGCACAAUGGGCGGAAGCCUGAUGCAGCAACGCCGCGUGCGGGAUGACGGCCUUCGGGUUGUAAACCGCUUUCGCCUGUGACGAAGCGUGAGUGACGGUAAUGGGUAAAGAAGCACCGGAUAACUACGUG